AGUGAACGCUGGCGGUAGGCCUAACACAUGCAAGUCGAACGGCAGCACAGUAAGAGCUUGCUCUUACGGGUGGCGAGUGGCGGACGGGUGAGGAAUACAUCGGAAUCUACUUUUUCGUGGGGGAUAACGUAGGGAAACUUACGCUAAUACCGCAUACGACCUACGGGUGAAAGCAGGGGAUCUUCGGACCUUGCGCGAUUGAAUGAGCCGAUGUCGGAUUAGCUAGUUGGCGGGGUAAAGGCCCACCAAGGCGACGAUCCGUAGCUGGUGUGAGAGGCUGGUCAGCCACACUGGAACUUAGACACGGUCCAGGCUCCUACGGGAGGGAGCAGUGGGGAAUAUUGGACAAUGGGCGCAAGCCUGAUCCAGCCAUCCCGCGUGGGUGAAGAAGGCCUUCGGGUUGUAAAGCCCUUUUGUUGGGAAAGAAAAGCAGCAGGUUAAUACCCCGCUGUUCUGACGGUACCCAAAGAAUAAGCACCGGCUAACUUCGUG
rnacentral:rRNA from 1 species